rnacentral:rRNA from 1 species
GACGAACGCUGGCGGCGUGCUUAACACAUGCAAGUCGAACGGAAAGGCCUGGUUUUUGUGGGGUGUUCGAGUGGCGCAAGGGUGAGUAACACGUGUGUAACCUGCGCUUUACUUCGGGAGAACUUCAGGAAACUGGGGCGAAUAUCGCGUAUGAGCUCUUGCUGCACAGGGUGGGUGGGAGAGUUUUGGCAGUUGGGGAUGGAAUGGCGGCUUAGCGGCUUGUUGGUUGGGUAGUGGGUUACCUAGGCUCUGACGGGUGGCCGGCCUGCGGGGGUGACCGGCCACAUUGGCACUGAGGUACGGCCCGGACGCAUACGGGAGGCAUGAAUGAGGAACAUAGCACAAUGGGCGGAAGCCGGAUGCAGGAACGCCGGGUGCGGGAUGACGGCCUUCGGGUUAUAACGCGCUUGCGCCUGGGAAGAAGCGUGAGUGACGGUAAUGGGUAAAGAAGCACCGGCUAACUACGUG